rnacentral:tRNA from 13 species
GACGAGGUGGCCGAGUGGUUAAGGCGAUGGACUGUUAAUCCAUUGAGCUCUGCCCGCGUGGGUUCGAAUUCCGUCCAUGUCG